rnacentral:rRNA from 1 species
GAGAGAGACAUGCGCGCAUAUCAAUAAGCGGAGGAAAAGAAACUAACAAGGAUUCCCUUAGUAACGGCGAGUGAAGCGGGAAGAGCUCAAAUUUGAAAUCUUCAAGGUUUUACCUUGACGAAUUGUAGUUUAAAGAAGUGUUUUCUGCUGAAGUUUUGGUAAAAGUUCUUUGGAAUAGGACAUCAUAGAGGGUUGAGAAUCCCGUAUUUGACCAUUAUUUUCAGCUUUGUGAUACACUUUCAAAGAGUCGGAUUGUUUGGGAAUGCAGUCCAAAAUGGGUGGUAAAUUUCAUCUAAAGCUAAAUAUUGGCGAGAGACCGAUAGCGAACAAGUACCGUGAGGGAAAGAUGAAAAGAACUUUGAAAAGAGAGUUAAACAGUACGCUGAAAUUGUCAAAAGGGAAGCGUUUGACACCAGUGUUGUUUUCUCGAAAAUCAAUUAAAAAUGGCUCGAUUUUGUAUUGUUGAGGACCUUAAAAGCUCACUGUACAUUUUUCGUGUCUUUUUUAAUGCACUUUUCGUUUAACAAGUCAACAUCAGUUUCUUUUGUUGUAAAAGGGUCAUUGGAAGGUGGCUUUCUUUUCGGAGAAAGUGUUUAUAGCCUUUGGCCUCUGCAAUCGGAAGAGACUGAGGUCUGUAGCGUAGACUCUUCGGGGUUAGAUACAUUUGUGCUAAGUUAUAGCUUUUUAUAGACAACUUGUUGACUAUAAUUAGUCUUGUAGCUUACUCGCUUAUGCUAUUUUACCUACGCUUAGGAUGUUGAAGAUGUAGCACAUCAU